rnacentral:rRNA from 1 species
GACGAACGCUGGCGGCGUGCCUAAUACAUGCAAGUCGAGCGGACGAAUCGAAAGCUUGCUUUUGAUUCGUUAGCGGCGGACGGGUGAGUAACACGUGGGCAACCUGCCCUGUAGACGGGGAUAACACCAAGAAAUCGGUGCUAAUACCGGAUAACACGAAAUGUCGCAUGACGUUUCGUUGAAAGACGGCGCAAGCUGUCGCUACAGGAUGGGCCCGCGGCGCAUUAGCUAGUUGGUGAGGUAACGGCUCACCAAGGCGACGAUGCGUAGCCGACCUGAGAGGGUGAUCGGCCACACUGGGACUGAGACACGGCCCAGACUCCUACGGGAGGCAGCAGUAAGGAAUCUUCCGCAAUGGACGAAAGUCUGACGGAGCAACGCCGCGUGAGCGAAGAAGGCCUUCGGGUCGUAAAGCUCUGUUGUUAGGGAAGAACAAGUAACGCAGUAACUGGCGUUACCGUGACGGUACCUAACGAGAAAGCCACGGCUAACUACGUG